GACGAACGCUGGCGGCGUGCUUAACACAUGCAAGUCGAACGGAAAGGCCUCUUUCGGGGGGUACUCGAGUGGCGAACGGGUGAGUAACACGUGAGUAACCUGCCCUUGACUUUGGGAUAACUUCAGGAAACUGGGGCUAAUACCGGAUAGGAGCUCCUGCUGCAUGGUGGGGGUUGGAAAGUUUCGGCGGUUGGGGAUGGACUCGCGGCUUAUCAGCUUGUUGGUGGGGUAGUGGCUUACCAAGGCUUUGACGGGUAGCCGGCCUGAGAGGGUGACCGGCCACAUUGGGACUGAGAUACGGCCCAGACUCCUACGGGAGGCAGCAGUGGGGAAUAUUGCACCAUGGGUGGAAGGCUGAUGCAGCAACGCCGUGUGCGGGAUGACGGCCUUCGGGUUGUAAACCGCUUUCGCUCAUGACGAAGCUUUGUGUGACGGUAGUGGGUAAAGAAGCACCGGCUAACUACGUG
rnacentral:rRNA from 1 species